UUCAGUUGAGUGCCGAACUUGGCCGAAGUAUCGAUGCAUUUCAAAGAAUAUAUUUUGUUUACAUAUUUUAUAUGAAUAUUUGUGAACACUAGUUAGUAAUAAUGUUUUUUAAUCUAAUCUUCGACGCGAAUUGAAGAUCCUCUCUCUUCGUAAUAAAGAGAGAAAUUGACAAAUGCACAAUAUAUUCUAUUGCAAUUUCGAGGUUAGAAAUCUAACAAAACUCCGGUUAAUUUAAGCGGUGGUUUAUUCGAUUGAAAAUGUGUCGAUAAAGUUUUAUGUUUUCUAAUCUUUCUUUCUAUGCAUCGAGCAAUUAACAGUUGUAUUCAUUUCAAUCAAAUACUGCGUAAUACUAGGAGUAUUACAUUGACAAGUUGAUCGGAGUUUGAUUAAAGCUUUAAAAAUGUCAGAAGAGAAAAUUGGUUCACUGGAAGAGGAGGCUCUGAAGAGAAAAGAACGGCUUCAGGCUCUCAAAAGGAAGAAUGAAGAAAGUAAGGAAAAUAAGAACAACGCGGACGAAAUAUUGCCAAAGCCGAAAUUCCGAAGUUACAAGCCGCAAGAUGAAAAUUUGAAAAGUAAUAUGAUAGAGGAUGCGAAACCUGGAGAUGUAGAAGCCGUGGUUCGUGAACAGUUGGAUGCUGCGAGCAGCAAAGUGGUCAUCGAGGAACUAGACAUCAGUAAUUUAGCACCAAGAAAACCUGAUUGGGAUUUAAAGAGAGAUAUAGCUAAAAAAUUAGAAAUAUUAGAGAGGAGAACACAGAAAGCAAUAGCAGAAGAAGUGAGAGCGCGUCUCAAACAAGGCCAACAAAAUCUAGCAGUUUAUGUAAAUGAGACUAACAAAGAAUAGAAGUACUGUUUAUCGUCGAAAUGACUGCAUGAGGAGACCGCCAACGUGACAUCUCGGCUGGAAAUCCUUGGCUGAUUUAAAGCGAUUAUCUUGAGGAUGACGAGCCAUCCUCGGCGUCCUUCCAUUAUGCAAAAUUUUUAUUGUUGCAUGAUUACGUGAGAUGCGUGCAAGGAGCAUUGAGGGCUCGCGAAAUCUAAUGAUAAAAAAAAUGUCUUAAAUCAAAGGGCUUUGCUAUUGAAUCGUCGUAAAAUUUAGGGGUCCGAGGAUUGACAAGUCGAGAAUCAUCACUAGCAUCUCAAUCGCGACUUUCGUAGAGUAUUCUGUGGUCAUCCGCAACGAUUUUGAUGCAUAUCAAUGCGGUUGAAUGCAACAUCAAUGCAACGGUUACGGAAGAUACUUAUUGUUAACGCAUACCUGGUAAUACAUACACGAGUAGUUGCAAUUUUGAUUUAAUCAUCUAGUAUUAGUACAUCGAUUUUAUUGAACACAGUGAAUACUUUAUUUAAUCAA